AAACAAAAAUCUGUAAAUCUUGCAGCAUGAUGUUUUUUUGUAACAUUUAAGAAAUAUCAGCAUGUCAUUCAUCAGCCCUUCAGCCUUUCUGAUCUAUUCUGAAAACUACUGAUGAAAUCCACCAUCUGCUGCUGACAUUUUGCAAUGGAUUACUUUUAUAUGUGUAAAAGUUAACUUUCCUUGCAGGCAUGUAUCGUUGCUAUCGUUGUGUAGCAGUGUAGAGGUGCUAGGUUAUUGGGUGACUCUGCCCAUACUUAACACCAGGUGGCUGUUAUGAGGUGGGCCAGUAUAAAAGGGGCACUUUGCCACCAGCUCUUUCUCUUGCACCUCUGCCCUUGGUGCGUCAUUUCCGGGCUCAAGGUCACCUGGUCUGCCAGGGUGACUCUGUGUGCUGCUCCGUGCUCCCUUAUGUGCAGUGGCGUGGUUAUUUGGUGGAUGCCAGCGACAGCCGGUGUCGUCUCUCUCUCUCCCUCCCUCCUCCUGCGCGAGCGUGUGUCCUAAAACAGGUAUGUGUGUUUUUAGUACAUGCCAGCAACCGCAGUAUUUUAAAGUAAUAACGGCGUUUUCCCUGUAAUUAGGAGUUGCUGUGAUCAGCUGCUUAGGAGUCGCUGCUGUUUUGUUUCCGGUGAAAGUUCUGUCUCCACGCUGUUUGUCUCCGAUGAGGCUCUGCCUCUGAAGCGUCGCCUCAGUUGCGUUGCUUUAUUUCUUUCUGCGACGCUGUCUCCACGCUGCGCUGUGUACGGCGGCGUGUUGGUGGUUGGAUGCUUGGCGUGAUCUGCAUUUUGCACCAGAGCCACUUUAGUAAAUGCGCCUGUGUUUUAACCAGGGCCUGGCCCCUGUAUAUGGUUGAAUGGUGUUUAGUUAAUUUUGUAUUCUAAUUAUUUUUCUUGGUUGUUCUGAUUUGAUUUGAUUAGUGUAUAGAUUCUGUUGUGGAUUAUGUUUUUCUUUUUCUUGAUUGUAAUUUUGCCCAUUAAUUAGUUUCUUUCUUUUUAGUUGCUGGAGACUGGUGGUGGUGCUGGUGACUGGGUGGUGGUACCCCCCUCUGCCUGCUGUGUCCUGGGAAGCGGGUUCCUCAUUUCACUGAGUGUGUGGGUCACGUAUGUCAGGUGGUGUGAAUUUGUAUUUAAGUUGGGGUGCCCCCCCCCCCCCCCCCCCUUUUCACCUAGCCUUGUCCAUCCACACAGCUCCAGCCCUUCAAGCGACUUUCUUUAUUUUGAUGGGUGUUUUGGAUGAAUGUGAUCAUUUUAAAGUAUUUAAAAUAAUAAAUUGUAUAUUUUCUUAAACCCUUGGCCGUCAAGAGUAUACUUACCUGUGUGCCUUUG